UAUGAAUCAACACUAAGAGCAAGUGAGUCUGUAAUGUUCUUUAAUGUUAACCACACUAAUUCUAUCAUAUAUGUGACACAUUUACAUGAUGAGCUGUUGUCUCAAAGCAGAGUGGAUGUGGAGGGUAAUAAUUGGAGUGGCUGCUUGUGGCGUAGCAUCUGGUGUUGUCCUGCUGCUUCCUUUAGUUCCCAGACUGCUGCGAAGAGCUGGUUCACCAGCAGGAGCUGAGGCAGUGGAAGAAGACGAAGGUGGAGACCAUUCUCAAAAUGAAGACCAUGAACUUUACCAUUUAUACUCCGUCAUCACUGAGGAUCCAGCUGCACAGAAAACUCACCAAAGGUGAGGAGACGUAGAAGGACGACCCUCGCUGUGCUCUCUCUCUCACACACACACACACACACACACACACACACACACACAC